GGGCCUCUAGCUCAAUGGUAGAGCACCGUCCUUUUAAGUCGUUGGUUGUGGGUUCGAAUCCCACGGGGCCUA
rnacentral:tRNA from 1 species